rnacentral:rRNA from 1 species
CGACUGCUAUCAGAGUGGGACUAAGCCAUGCGAGUCAACGCUGAAAGGCGUGGCAUACGGCUCAGUAACACGUAGUCAACAUGCCCAAAGGACGUGGAUAACCUCGGGAAACUGAGGAUAAACCGCGAUAGGCCAAGGUUUCUGGAAUGAGCCAUGGCCGAAAUCUACAUGGCCUUUGGAUUGGACUGCGGCCGAUCAGGCUGUUGGUGAGGUAAUGGCCCACCAAACCUGUAACCGGUACGGGCUUUGAGAGAAGGAGCCCGGAGAUGGGCACUGAGACAAGGGCCCAGGCCCUAUGGGGCGCAGCAGGCGCGAAACCUCUGCAAUAGGCGAAAGCCUGACAGGGUUACUCUGAGUGAUGCCCGCUAAGGGU